UCUAUGGACAAAAGUCAGCUAGCUACGGUCUAAGGACUUUAAACAACGUUGUGGCUUGGACGAGGUGACCAUUCCAUCUCAUGGAGGUUAAUUUCAGGCGUUAACCGCGGCCGAGUUAAGGCGUCGGUGACAAAGUGAUUCCCUGCUUGCAUGUCAUGCACUCAAUGCCGGCACAGCGGCCUAAUCCUCCACCCUCGUUACCCGC
rnacentral:lncRNA from 1 species